rnacentral:ncRNA from 1 species
UAGGCAAACUUGUGGAAACGCAAGGACGCAAAGCCAAGGGUCUAACCACAUUUUUAAUGUGUAAUGACAGCCGGUUGC